rnacentral:rRNA from 1 species
AUUGAACGCUGGCGGCAGGCUUAACACAUGCAAGUCGAGCGGGGUGAUGGUGCUUGCACUAUCACUUAGCGGCGGACGGGUGAGUAAUGCUUAGGAAUCUGCCUAUUAGUGGGGGACAACAUCUCGAAAGGGAUGCUAAUACCGCAUACGUCCUACGGGAGAAAGCAGGGGAUCACUUGUGACCUCGCGCUAAUAGAUGAGCCUAAGUCGGAUUAGCUAGUUGGUGGGGUAAAGGCCUACCAAGGCGACGAUCUGUAGCGGGUAUGAGAGGAUGAUCCGCCACACUGGGACUGAGACACGGCCCAGACUCAUACGGGAGGCAGCAGUGGGGAAUAUUGGACAAUGGGGGGAACCCUGAUCCAGCCAUGCCGCGUGUGUGAAGAAGGCCUUAUGGUUGUAAAGCACUUUAAGCGAGGAGGAGGCUCUUUUGGUUAAUACCCAAGAUGAGUGGACGUUACUCGCAGAAUAAGCACCGGCUAACUCUGUGCCAGCAGCCGCUGUAA